rnacentral:lncRNA from 1 species
UAAGAGGCUGUAAGCCGAUUCUCUCAAAUUAAAAACUAAUGAGAAAUAAUAACUGGAAGACUCCAAAUAAGGUGUACUUACGACUGGCCAAGAUAUCCUGCCAAUAAAAAGGGAGAUGCAAAGGAGCCUCCCAAGACAGCCAGCACGAGGCACCUGGGAGGAUGGUGGUUUGGGAAGUGAAGAUAAAUACUUCCCUAACAUUAACCCCCCCACCACCCCCCAGCUGUGGAUCUCGGGAAGUCCCUCUCUGGUGUUGAUGUUUCACCACUGAACAGAGGAAAGCCGAAAAACCUGGAGAAAGUGCAUCCUCUCAUGUCCCACCAGGGGUCCCAGAGCGUAUUCCUUCUGUGCUGACGGAAGGAUCCAUCCCUUCCCUCCCUGCCUGAAGCCAUGACUAUGCUGGGGGCAAAACGUCUCCAGAAGAGCUGGAGUGAGAGGACCUUCCUGGGGGGUAUUUCCAACAUGCGACUGGGGGAAUGAGAAGAACUUAGCUCAAUUAUUUUGUUUUAAAACAUCUUCCUCCUCAGCCCGAUUUUAUACUUUAAAGUAGUUUUACAAGCUGUGGAGCUCAUGCACGUGUCUGAACCUGAAGGAGGAAUUGCUUCAUCACUGGAGGGGAAGGACAAGGCAUGGAGGUGCAAGGUCCAUCCUAAGAAUGCUGAACAUCAGUCUGGGACAAACCUUGCCUGCUCUCACUGUGACACCAGCACGGAAAGAAAGGAGAGAAGUGCCAUGCCCUGCAGCUGGGAAAUCACCAAAGAAACCCCAAACCCAAUUUCCACUGGAAUAAACAGAACACAGGACCUGGCAUCAAGACUUCCAUCCCACAGUGCAGCAACAGAUGCAGACUGCCAAGCUGACACUGUCCGUAAGGCCCUGAAAGCAGAAUCUCACCCCCCAAUGUCAGUGGAGCGUU